UUAGGGUUCUACUUACGUUUGGUUUAUUAUUUUUAUCUAUAGUGUUUAGUUUUUAGUAGUUCAUCUUGUUCGAGAGCCCCAUUUUGGCCCCAAUUUAGGUUAUUUAGGUUAUAUUAUUGUAAAUCCCUGUAGUUCUAAUUUUCUAGAAUUUGUAUACUUGCUUGCUUUGACUGUCAGUAUUCUCCUAAAAUUAUUGGUCUCUUUGGGCAAAAACAAUGAAGAUAAUUCUAAAUAUUUCAAAACUGUUCCAUCGGGUUUUAAAAAGGACGCGCUUCAUGACAAUUCAUUCAGUUUUAAUUAUUUAGUCAGUUUUUACCUUGGAAACAAUUAAACAAGUCAAGGCGAGUUAGGUUAGUGUUUUUUUGACGUUGACAAUAAAAGUGUGUUCCCGAAUUUCGUUACAAUAAUAAUAAUAAUAAUAAUGAAUUGAAAGACAUCAAAUGAGCCAUCGAAUCAACAACAACACGAAGUAUUUUAAAAUGAUAAAAUUAUUUGUAUUCUAAUCAAACUUUUUUAUAGCGAUGUGCAAAAAUGGCUAAAAUGACUAGCCACUAUCUCAGCCGUCAUGCUCCGAAAUAAGCGAUGAGCAACCAUUAAACCAGCCAUUGCCUAAGGCAUCAUGCUCGGAAAAUAGGUAACACAUUUAUGAAGGGAUAAGUCAUUGAUCCAGCCGCUGCAUGAACCAUCGGUCUCCGAAACCAGGUAUGGCAUACCUAUUUAUAUAUGUUAAUUAAUUCAUAAUUAAUUUACUUUAUAAUAAACAAUCAAUAUAA